GGAUAGUAAAUAUUUAUUUGCCAAAUUAUAUCAAAUAUUAGCUUAAAUUAAUUAUCAGAAGAACAAGUAGUAAAACCUGAAAGUGACACCUCUACCACUACCACACCUUUCAAAGUACAAGAGAGAAAUAAAGGUGACAUACAUCACACGUCUCCCCUCGGCCUUUUCAUCUGAGAUUGAGAGUGUCUCCUUCCUUCCAUCCAAUCUAUUUUCUUCAAUCUUGCAGUAGUUUUGAUAAAUGAAAAAAAAUAUGCGCGCCUUGUUAUUCUGUAAGUAAAAAGAGAAAAAAAAAAAAAAUUUAAAAACUUGUUUGUUUUUCAGCGAGCAGAAACCAAACAAAAAAUCUGUGAUAAAAUACGAACCGAUGUCCAAACAUGAAAUGUCAUGUCAUGUCACCUAACUUUGUU
rnacentral:lncRNA from 1 species